CCUUGAACAAACACUGGCGGCUCCUCUCCUCAGCGGUGGUCUGUUUUGUCGCCCAUCAGCUCUAUGAGAACAUCCUUCCUUACACUGAGCUGGCAUCUGUCUUCUAGGAACUCUCACCCCUGGUCUUGGUUUUGCCCCCUGGAACAGCGCUGGGAUGAAGCCUACUGCAAUUGAAAUAAACUUCUAGUUCAAUUAUCUGGAGCACCCCCAAGCAGGUGACUAGAGAAACAAAUUGUGGUGUAUCCUUAUGAUGAAUACUACUCAGCAAUAAAAGGGAAUGAACUAUGGAUAGACAAUGGAAGAAUCAACAACAGAAGAGUUUCAAAAUAAUUAUGCUGAGUAGAAGAAGCCAUACCAAAAAAAGGUACAUACUGUCUGAUUUCAUUUGUUUAAAAUUCUGGAAAAUGCAAACUAACGUACAGUAAUAGAAAGAAGAUUGUGGUUGCCUGGAGAGGGAGUGAGUGGAGAGUGAUGCACCGAGGGAUUACCCAGAGGCCUGCGGAAACUUUCCGAGGUGAUGGGUACAUUCAUUACCUUGAUGGUGGUGAUAGUUUAUGCAUGCAUGUAU